GCUGGGCAAGGUGGCGCACGCCUGUAGUCCCAGCAGCUUGGGAGGCUGAGGCAGAAGGAUGGAGAGUUCAAAACCAGUCUCAGCAAAAGUGAGGUGGGCUAAGCAACUCAGUAAGACCCUGUCUCUU
rnacentral:sRNA from 1 species